CCCUUAGAUGUUCUGGGCUGCACGUGCGCUACAAUGAUAGAGAAAACAUGCUCCGAUUUUGACAGAAAAAGGAAAUCCUGAAAUUUCUAUCGUGAUGGGGCUAGACCCUUGCAAUUUUUGGUCUCCAACGAGGAAUUCCUAGUAAGGGCAAGUCAUUAGCUUGCCCUGAUUACGUCCCUGCCCUUUGUACACACCGCCCGUCGCACCUACCGAUUGAAUGGUCCGGUGAAUUCGUUGGACUGGCAAUAGCCGGAAAAUCGAGUGAACCUUACUAUUUAGAGGAAGGAGAAGUCGUAACA
rnacentral:rRNA from 1 species